UUUUUUUGGGGAUGGAAUUUUUGUAGAACUUUUUUACAAAAUAAUCAUCUAAAAUUUUAUAAUUUGUGAAAUAACCUUAUUAAAUUUGUAUUUAGCAAAUUAACUUUCGAAACGCGGUGAAUCAUUCAUCGCAUUCUGAAAGUCUUUUUUAAAGUCGGUGAAACAUUCACUGUCUUCUUCAUAAUUUUUUGGGAAAGAGAAAAAGAUGAGGUUGUUAAAAUUGUACGUAGAUUAUAUGGGGAAUAAAAAAAGUGAGGUUGUUAAGAUUGUGUGUGAAAUAUUAGAAUUUUUGUUUGAUUGUUAGAAUUAUAUGGAUAGAUUAUUAAAAUUUUUUUGAUUGUUAGGAUUAUAUGGAUAUAUUAUUAGGAUUUUCAAUUUGUUAAGAUUAUAUGUGAUAUUUGAUUAUUACGAUUGUAUGGAUAGAUUAUUAGGAUCUUUUUUGAUUGUUAGGAUUGUAUGGAUAGAUUAUUAGAAUUUUCAGGUUAUUAAGAUUAUAUAUAAUUUGUUAAAAUAUUUAUGUGGUUGUUAAGGUUAUAAAAAAAUAAUAAUAAACAAGUGAAAGGCGGUAAAUGAUUCACCGCUUUUCUAAGAAAUUAAGAAACCGGUGAAGGCGGUGAACCAUUCACCGUUUUUAAAAGAUUAGUUUUUUAAAUAUAAUUUUGGCAAAAUUAUUUCACAAAUAAUAAAAUUUUAAAAGGUUAUUUUAUAAAAAAAGUCCUUUUUUG
rnacentral:lncRNA from 1 species